UGGGGAAUCUUCCGCAAUGGACGAAAGUCUGACGGAGCAACGCCGCGUGAGUGAAGAAGGUUUUCGGAUCGUAAAACUCUGUCUUUUGGGGCGAACGUGAGUAUGGUGAACAAUCAUAGUCAGUGACGGUACCAAAGGAGGAAGCCACGGCUAACUACGUGCCAGCAGCCGCGGUAAUACGUAGGUGGCAAGCGUUGUCCGGAAUUAUUGGGCGUAAAGAGCGCGUAGGCGGGAUAGUCAGUCUGUUGUAAAGUGCGGGGCUCAACCCCGUGAUGGCAAUGGAAACAGCUAUUCUUGAGUGCAGGAGAGGAAAGUGGAAUUCCCAGUGUAGCGGUGAAAUGCGUAGAUAUUGGGAGGAACACCAGUGGCGAAGGCGACUUUCUGGACUGUGUCUGACGCUGAGGCGCGAAAGCCAGGGGGAGCGAACGGGAUUAGAUACCCCCGGUAGUCCUGGCCGUAAACGAUGGGUACUAGGUGUGGGAGGUAUCGACCCCCUUUCCGUGCCGGAGUUAACGCAAUAAGUACCCCCGCCUGGGGAGUACGGUCGCAAGACUGAAACUUAAAUGAAUUGAC
rnacentral:rRNA from 1 species